AGGCCCGCGGACUGCCGCCCGUGCAGCCGUACACGGGUGCUUCGUGCUGCCCUGCGCUUUCCAGUCGUGGAGCUAGUCUCACGGGUGGACGACGCGUGCGCCCGCGGUCAGGGCUGUGUGCCCUAGGUGCCCCGGGCGCCGCGGCAGCCACACCGCCGUCCCCACCGCUCUCCUGCAUCCCCACUCUGUCCGUACUUGCACGCGUGCCUGCACCUGUGUUCCCGCGGAAACGCGGUCACCGCGCACACUCCCGCGUCCCACUUCACGGACUGCGUGUGAAGUCCGCCCGCUCACGAUCGCGGUGCUGCGGGUCUCUGCGUGACACGACCCGUCCUGCUGCCUCUACCGUCCAUCCAACAAGUGUUUAACGAAUGCCUACUGUGUGCCAGGGGAUGCAGCCCUGGUUGGGCCAGUGAAAAUACAACAUAGGAUGGGACAGGUUAAAUGACUUUUGGUUUUGCCUCAGGAACACAUUCCAGCCUUGCCAUAUCACUCAGGAUAAGAAGGCAAUGAUCUCCUGCAUUCCACUGGACACGAUUCAUUUGCAUUUCUGUGAAUGAAAAUCAUUUGCACUGUUAGCAGUUUGCUACAACUGGAAGAGUUGUAAGGUAGCUGCAAAUAUAUGACAAUCUCUGUUAUGGACUGAAUGUUUGUGCCCCUCCAAAAUCCAUAUGUUGAAACCCUACCUCCUAACGUCAUGGUAUUAGGAGGUGGGAUAUGUGGAGGUAAUUAGGAUUAAGAUGUCAUAAGGGUAGAACCCUCCAGAAUGGGAUUAGGGUCCUGGUAAAGAAUCCUGAGAAACCUGCUUCCUCACUGUGGUCUUCAGCCAUGCGUGGACACAAUGGGAAGACUGCCUUCCGAACACAGGAAGGGGCCCUCACCAGAACCCAGCCUCUCGGACCACCCUGAUGUGGGACUUUACACCUUCGGGAACCAGAAGAUACAAACUUUGGUUAGACAGA